AAAUCCCUCCGAAAAAUUGUAGACGCUGCGGACUAGCUUUCAGAUUCAGGGAAACUUAGGUUGAAAAAAAUAUAAGCGAUCCUGAGCCAAAUUUUCUUUUAAAAAUAAGAUAGGUGCAGAGACUCGAUGGAAGCUAUCCUAACGCAAAAAUUUUUAAGAUUUAUUUAAUCGAAUUCUAUGAAUUAAUAGAAAGAAAAAAAAAUUUAACUAAAUUUUUUUUAAAAUAACACGCAAGGAUAAAGAUAGAGUCCAAUUUUACAUGUUAAAUUUAGCAACAAUUUAAAUUGUAGUAAAAAGAAAAUCCGUUGGCUUUAUUGACCGUGAGGGUUCAAGUCCCUCUACCCCC
rnacentral:tRNA from 1 species